rnacentral:piRNA from 1 species
AUUUAAUUCAAUAAACUCUGUAUCAGCC